rnacentral:rRNA from 1 species
AUUGAACGCUGGCGGCAGGCUUAACACAUGCAAGUCGAGCGAACGGCGGACGGGUGAGUAAUGUCUGGGAAACUGCCUGAUGGAGGGGGAUAACUACUGGAAACGGUAGCUAAUACCGCAUACCAUCAUAUUUUCCCAGAUGGGAUUAGCUAGUAGGUGGUGUAAUGGCUCACCUAGGCGACGAUCCCUAGCUGGUCUGAGAGGAUGACCAGCAACACGGGAACUUAGACACGGUCCAGCCUCCUACGGGAGGCAGCAGUGGGGAAGAUUGCACAAUGGGCGCAAGCCUGAUGCAGCCAUGCCGCGUGUGUGAAGAAGGCCUUCGGGUUGUAAAGCACUUUCAGCGAGGAGGCGUUACUCGCAGAAGAAGCACCGGAUAACUCCGUGCCAGCAGCGGCGGUAAUAC